GUUUAGGGGUUUGACGGCGAAGGGUGGUUUAGUGGAUGAAGGUUGUGUUUGGAAGAUGAAGAUGGAGGCAGAGGCGAAGGAUGAUGAAGUGAGGUUGUUGACGGUGUAGAUGAAGUGUGGACGGAGGGUUUACGGUGAGAGUGGAUCUCGGAGGUUAUAGCGAGUUUGAACGGUGGUUGUGAGCUCGUCGGUGAGGGUUUUGAAGGAG
rnacentral:lncRNA from 1 species